GUGCCAGCAGCCGCGGUAAAACGUAGGAGACAAGCGUUAUCCGGAGUUACUGGGCGUAAAGGGCGUGCAGGUGGUGAAGUAAGUCUGUUGUGAAAGCGCCUGGCUUAACCGGGCGAGGCCAAUGGAGACUGCUUGACUGGAGGGCGGUAAAGGGGUGUGGAAUUCCGGGUGUAGUGAUAAAAUGCAUAGAGAUCCGGAGGAACACCAGAGGCGAAGGCGGCACCCUAAGCCGUACCUGACACUGAGACGCGACAGCACGGGGAGCGAACGGGAUUAGAUACCCCAGUAGUCC
rnacentral:rRNA from 1 species